UGAAAAUAGCCAAUGAGGGGCAUUCAUUCA
rnacentral:piRNA from 1 species